GUGAAAUGACGUAUAAAUAAGCAAAUAACACUUAAAUUAUAACUACCAAAUUACAAUGUUUUCAAGUCCUGUUUGUUAUUUCAGCAUAAUAGUAAUUGUCUUUAAUAACAUGAUUCAUGUGCAAUCCGAAUUUAACGAGUCAUUCCCAGAAGAUGGCGAUAUCAAUAAUAAUAGCAAAGGAUAUUCUUCGGAUUUAUUGACUGUUGCAAAAGACGCAAGCCAUGUUUUCAGUAAAGUUGUCAGCAAAAUUUUGUCAAAAAAACGGCUAUUAGGUCUAAAUACUAAUUGGUAUUGGUGACUAAUAAAAUCAUUC